AACCUUACCAAUGCUGAUGAUGUGCGGCACCGGGAAGGACAUAGGGUUACUCUUCUGGGCGGGUUCAAAGGUGGUGCACGGUUGUGGUCAACUCGGGGCUGGGGAUGUAGGGUUAAGUCCCGCAACGAGCGCAACCCUCGUUCCAUGUUGCCGGCUCUUACUGGUGGGAACUCAUGGGAGACUGCCGGGGUCAACUCGGAGGAAUGUGGGGAUGACGUCAAAUCAUCAUGCCCCUUAUGUCUUGGGCUUCACGCAUGCUACAAUGGCCGGUACAAUGGGUUGCGAUACUGUGAGGUGGAGCUAAUCCCUAAAAGCCGGUCUCAGUUCGGAUUGGGGUCUGCAACUCGACCCCAUGAAGUCGGAGUCGCUAGUAAUCGCAAAUCAUCAACGCUGCGGUGAAUACGUUCCCCGGGCCUUGUACACACCGCCCGUCAAGUCACGAAAGUUGGUAACACCCGAAAGCCGAUGGCCUAACCACCUUGUGUGGGGGGAGUCGUCGAACGUGGGACUGGCGAUUGGACUAAGUCGUAACAGGUAAA
rnacentral:rRNA from 1 species